UACGUAGGGACCAAGCGUUGUUCGGAUUUACUGGGCGUAAAGGGCGCGUAGGCGGCCUGCUAAGUCGGACGUGAAAUCCCUCGGCUCAACCGGGGAACUGCGUCCGAUACUGGUGGGCUCGAAUCCGGGAGAGGGAUGUGGAAUUCCAGGUGUAGCGGUGAAAUGCGUAGAUAUCUGGAGGAACACCGGUGGCGAAGGCGGCAUCCUGGACCGGUAUUGACGCUGAUGCGCGAAAGCCAGGGGAGCAAACGGG
rnacentral:rRNA from 1 species